CCUACGGGGGGCUGCAGUAACGAAUCUUCCGCAAUGCACGAAAGUGUGACGGAGCGACGCCGAGUGUGGAUGAAUUCCUUCGGGAUGUAAACCACUGUCAAGAGAAAGUCUAUCUAAAGGAAGUGGCGACUAACUCUGUGCCAGCAGUCGCGGUAAUACAGAGGCCACAAGCGUUAGGCGGAAUCACUGGGCUUAAAGCGUGUGUAGGCGGGAUGGUAAGUACUUUGUGAAAUCCCACGGCUUAACCGUGGAAUUGCUUGGUAUACUGCCGUUCUUGAGUCAUCUAGGGGCAGCCGGAACAGAUGGUGGAGCGGUGAAAUGCGUAGAUAUCAUCUGGAACGCCAAUGGUGCAGACAGGCUGCUGGGAGUACUGACGCUGAGGCACGAAAGCCAGGGGAGCAAACGGGAUUAGAUACCCUUGUAGUC
rnacentral:rRNA from 1 species